rnacentral:lncRNA from 1 species
AAAGUUUUGUUUUUUUUUUUUUAAUUGUCUCAGCUGUUUCGAUCGAGCCGGAGCCUGCUGCACACGUAUAUUCUAGCGAUUCAAACUUACAUCGCAGUCUGUUCAUUAUCAAAAUAAAAUAGUCAACUAAACAUUUAAAAGGUUACACUGGUCAGUUUAAAUAGACCUUAUACCGGUUCACUCUGCUGUUAUGCCAAGGACGUUUUUGCUCAUGUGAAGAGGAUUAUCUUUUCCGUCUAGAUGCGAAUGCGUACAAGCCUAGUUAACAUUAUAAAUAAUAGUUUAAUAUUCAAAUACAUUGCAAAUAUGGAAACAUUUGGAUUUGUGCCGAAAUACCACACUUGUCAUAAUCAGAGCGUCUAAUUUGUAAAUAAAUAAUUGCUGGAUUCAAAACAGAGAUUAAUACGCGCUGUGACCGACACUGACAAAACGUUUCCCCGGAACAUUCAGUGAUGUCACUAAACGGUGACGCCAUCGCUCACAAGUUUCUGCAUGGACCUCACUAGUACACAGGUUCUCAUGCCCUGGGACAAAAUAUGAUGGUUUAAGGCAAAUGUAUAGCCUAUAUAAGUAAUAGGUCCAACAUAAAAAUACCUUUUUAAAAAAAAAAAAAAAAAUAUGCGAAAUAAAUCCAACUUAAAUAAUUAAGAUAACAGAUUUAAAACAGAAGUACGGCGACGCUCCAUAAGUUCACGGGAAAAAAAGAAUGGACAACGCAUUCUGUUUGUUUGCUUUAUUUUACAAGAGCACAAAUCUUCUGUUUUUAGUGUGUGUGCGCACAAAUGAAAGUAAACACUUUUGCGGAAAAGUUUUUUUUUUUUUUUUUUUAAGUGAAUUAAUUGAAUUUAUUUGUACAUGAUAGUAUAAAAAGUUUAGUUUAGCAGUUAUCAGCCAUGAAAUAAUGUUGUGUUGCCAACAUAAUGGUUGAUUUUAGUGUUUCAUUUUUAUUUUAUUCCUGCACUAUUCUUAAUAUUAGCCAUUUAUCUGGUAUCAGCUUAUGAAAAUAAUUAGUAGGUAAUUGGUAUCAGCCAAAACUUUUAAUUGUGUGUAAUUGUAAUUAGAUUGUAACAUUGUAAGAAUUCAUUUUACUUUUUUUAAGUGAAUUAAUUGAAUUUAUUUGUACAUGAUAGUAUAAAAAGUUUAGUUUAGCAGUUAUCAGCCAUGACAUGCAAAUAAUUGUUGGCUUAUCCAUAUUGGCUAAAAUUUUAAUAUAGUUUCAUCCCUAUUCUUCUAUCUUUGACUAAAACACAAAUCCCUGUCUAAUAUUUAAAAGUUUGCAUAAUUGUUUUCCUGUCAUGAAUUUUAGGGAACAGAGAUGAAAGAUCACAUAAAGAAACAACUUUAAAUACUUAAGAAGAAAUAGUGACAUUUCUAGUAAGUAAAUAUUAUUGCUAGUUUCACGGUGGGUUGCAUUCUGGGAAUUUCUGAGGCAUGAACAUUUCUCUGCUUAGAGUGAUUUGGACAAUGGGACAGCCUCAAAAACGUCUGACUCCCUGAGCAGCACACAUAAAUGAACCAGGGAGCGGAUUGAGACACAAUGGGUGUGUGACAGUGAAUGUGACGUACUCGGAUCCUUUCCUUCUCUUCUGAUUCUUUUCUCACUUGCUUUCUCCUUCAUUUGCUCUCAAGUCAUUUGUCUCAUUAGUCUAAUUUAACAGAACACUUCGCUGUCUUUGUGGGGGAGGCCUCUCUUAUUUAAAGGCCUGAUUGGAAUAAAGAGAUGAUGGUGGU